rnacentral:misc_RNA from 1 species
UCCUGGUUAACCCAGGCAGUCUCGUUAGAGUUCCCAACUUUACUUGCUGGCAACUAACGACAAGGGUUGCGCUCGUUGCGGGACUUAACCCAACACCUCACGGCACGAGCUGACGACAGCCAUGCAGCACCUGUGCAAGUGUCCAUUGCUGGAAGUAUACAUCUCUGUAUAGGUCACUUGCAUGUCAAACCCAGGUAAGGUUCUUCGCGUUGCAUCGAAUUAAACCACAUGCUCCACUGCUUGUGCGGGUCCCCGUCAAUUCUUUUGAGUUUCACCCUUGCGAGUGUACUUCCCAGGCGGUAUACUUAUCGCGUUAGCUACGGCACAGUUGGGGUUGAGUCCAACUACGCCAAGUAUACAUAGUUUAAGGCAAGGACUAC